UCUCUCUCAUCGAUGAAAAAGGACCAA
rnacentral:piRNA from 1 species